CGGGCCGUGGCGCAGCCUGGUAGCGCGUUUGACUGGGGGUCAAAAGGUCGCAGGUUCGAAUCCUGUCGGCCCGAC
rnacentral:tRNA from 1 species